CCUACGGGUGGCAGCAGUGGGGGAUAUUGCACAAUGGGGGAAACCCUGAUGCAGCGACGCCGCGUGUGGGAAGACGGUCCUCUGGAUUGUAAACCACUGUCCCCAGGGACGAAGAUGACGGUACCUGGGGAGGAAGCUCCGGCUAACUACGUGCCAGCAGCCGCGGUAAUACGUAGGGAGCGAGCGUUGUCCGGAAUUACUGGGUGUAAGGGGAGCGUAGGCGGGACUGCAAGUUGGGUGUAAAAUCUACCGGCUCAACCGGUAGCCGCACUCAAAACUGCAGUUCUUGAGUGAAGUAGAGGCAGGCGGAAUGCCUAGUGUAGCGGUGAAAUGCGUAGAUAUUAGGAGGAACACCAGUGGCGAAGGCGGCCUGCUGGGCUUUUACUGACGCUGAGGCUCGAAAGUGUGGGGAGCAAACAGGAUUAGAUACCCCAGUAGUC
rnacentral:rRNA from 1 species